rnacentral:rRNA from 1 species
AUUGAACGCUGGCGGCAUGCUUUACACAUGCAAGUCGAACGGCAGCACGGGGGCAACCCUGGUGGCGAGUGGCGAACGGGUGAGUAACACAUCGGAACGUACCCAGUUGUGGGGGAUAACCUACCGAAAGGUAGGCUAAUACCGCAUGAGCUCGGGAGAGGAAAGCGGGGGAUCGUAAGACCUCGCGCGAUUGGAGCGGCCGAUGUCCGAUUAGCUAGUUGGUGGGGUAAAGGCCUACCAAGGCGACGAUCGGUAGCUGGUCUGAGAGGAUGAUCAGCCACACUGGGACUGAGACACGGCCCAGACUCCUACGGGAGGCAGCAGUGGGGAAUUUUGGACAAUGGGGGCAACCCUGAUCCAGCCAUGCCGCGUGAGUGAAGAAGGCCUUCGGGCUGUAAAGCUCUUUCGGUGGGAACGAAAUGGCCCGUGCUAACACCAUGGGUCGAUGACGGUACUCACAGAAGAAGCACCGGCUAACUACGUGCCAGCCGCCGCCGUAAGAC